GGAAAGAACCUCGGAAUCUGAACCUUGAGAAAUUGUGAUGGAGUGGCACCACAGAAGGAUUUAGUCAACAUCUUUCACAAAAGCUAUUUUUACCCUGGAUGUGUUCUGCGAUUUGUUUCCCACACAGCAUUGAAACUGGCACAGCUGAGGGAUCCUUGAAAUGGUGUCCUCUGGGUAGGAGUCAGCAAAGCACAAAGGCAGGAGCAGAAGCACAGGACCAGAGCCAGAGAGGAACCCAUCCACAUCUGCAGCAAGAAGCUGUGAGACUGACUGACUGAGCUGUAACAUGGACCUGCAUCUGCCAGCCAGUGGGGCCAGCUGCUUGUCAUCCUGUGCUCCUGGGCCCUCUUGUUGAGAACAGGAUUUUCUUCCCUUGUAGGGAUGAAGUUUGGGAUGAUGAAGAAGUCUACUAAGGACUGUAGCCAUGAUCAUAAAAGUCUUCCAGCUGCUUGCUGCUGCUCUUUACUUAACAACCCCAAAGUGGCCUGAAUGGGAGAAAAGAUGCUAUUUUGGGGGACGGCUGUCUGCUGUGCCUUCCUGUGAGAGUUACGCUGCUUAUGUCAGUUCUGUAGGUAACAGGUCUUGUCAGAGGUGAUGGAACCUGCAAGUCAUUUACAGCAGAUUUUCUUGAGGUAGUGAUGGAAUCCAUGGUGUUUUGUUUUCCCUUGUCUUCUGACAUCUACAGCCCCAGUGCAAAGAAAACUGUGUGACUCUUGCCUUGCUUUUGCAGCUGAAGUCUCAUAAAAGACAGAAAAGAAAAUGCACCUCUUUUUUUUUUCUUUUUUUUUUUUUAAGUCUUCUGCAGGUACAAACUGUUUUUCUGGUGUAAAUUGAGAGGCAUAGGGCGCAAUGAUGCACUUCUAGGAAUUUACUCCACAUGGCUGGGGAGCAGCUCAGCUAGAUUAGGAUGGGGAAAAAGAAACAGGCCCAAACCUUUGAAUAACUCUGAAAGGCUGAAAGAGCCCAGCGAAUGAGUCCUCACAUCUCCUGCUUCCCCAAGAGAAUGGAAAACUUUCCAUUCCAGGGAGCUGGUAUAUCUACUGCCAGUGUUAAAAGAGUUUUGUGUUUUGUUUUAUAAAGAAAAGCCAGGUUACACUAGGAAAUACUGGGGGCAGUUGCCUGCCCAAUUUUAAGUCGAAACAAAUAAAUAGUCUUGGGUUUUGCCUUUAAUUUUCUGUCCAGUGCCAGUUUUCCUGGGCCCAACAUGGGUCUUUUGCGAAAUGCUCUGAGAAUUUUGGGGCCAAGGAGACAGCUCCCCAGCUCUGUCACCUCCACAGCAGCUGGUGACACACAGAAGAGCUUCAGCAGCCAUCGAACCUGCAUCCUGACAGAUUGCCUCUCCUUUUUGGCCCUCACUGGCUGCUCUCAGCGCAGGGUUCCUUGCUCAGCAUCACCUUUCAAGGAGGGACCGUGUCCAGUUCCCUUUUAGAAAAGGCAAUUUUUCAAAUUGUCCUUGUUUGAAAGAAAAUACUGUGUUGGGCAGCAGUGCAGACAUUGGGCUAAGCGCUCUCUGGCGUGUGCUGUGCUGAUGUGAUGAGGCUGGGCCAGGAGUCCAGCACAUUUUGCUCAUUUCUAUACCCUGCAGUGGAUAGCCAGCAUGUACGGUGUUUUUCCUUCACCCUAGAGCUUCCUCCCAGGACCCUGCCAGUAAUUUGAUCCUGCUUUGAUAAUAAACCGUCACGGUGACACAACAUGGAACUGUAGUCCUAAUGACCUGUGUUAAUUAAAAAUCAAAUGACACUUUCUCCGGAGAAAGUUCUUUAGUUCCAGUGUUUUCCUAAGAUAAUUAUACCGAACCAGCCUAUUACCCUCCCCUGUAGUUUCAUUUAUUGUUCACUCUGUCUAAACUCCUGCAUGCCAUUGCACAGCACUAUUUUGUCAUGUUCCACCCCAUAAUUUCAAAAUAGGUAGCCUGUUUGUUUAAAACUCCAGCAAAAGCUUUUAAGGCUUGAGCAGAGAGAUGCUGUAUCUUUGCUGUGAUGAUGUACAGGCUGCCGGUUUGAUUUCACUGCCUUGUAGCACCAGAUUGAGAAACUCUUUGCCUCUUUGUCUCCCCUGGCUUCUGAAAUAGCAAGAGAUAAACAGGAAAAGGGGGAGACACCUUCUGUUUGAUAUUGUUUGACUCUCAAGUCAGUUCAGGCUCUGAUAUUAAUAACUUCCUGUUUUGUUAUAAGUUGUCUGACAAAUAAAGAGCCUCCGUGUGUGUUGGCAUUUCAGCCUGAACUUAGGCAACUCCACGACUAGUGUGUUCCCAGGCUGUGGGCUACAAAUUCCAGUUUCCUGCUUACCUUCAGGCUAAAAUUUUAGAAUUGGAAGUAAAAUCGCUAAAAAUCAGGUGCCUAAACCCACUGUUAGUUGCCAAAAUGAGAACGACCUGACUGUCGUAACGGUUGAACACCUGCAGACCCUGUAAGUAUCUUGGGACUUGAGAGGGCAGAAUCUAUACAAAUCAGACUAAUUUUGUGUAGGAGCUCAAAUAAGGACCCUAAGUUCAAACUCUGGACUGCUGUUCAUUGCUAGGGAUGUGCUCAGAAGCUAGAAGCAGAAAAGGGGAUCUGCAGAAAUGUGGAGAAAGGUGCAUUUGUGUAAUGUCACUUGUGCAAGAUGCUUAUGAAAUGUGGUGCGUGUUGCGUUGCAUCAUUUUUCACAUACGCUUCGAUUGGGAAGAGACUUUCUUUUCCAGCUGCCCAAACAACUUUCCCUGUGAACUGAACUAUUUCCUCUGGAUAAUACGCUGGUUUGCUGCCUGCUGGAGAGGUGGAGUUCCCCCCGAAUGCCUGUAACCCCCGUGGCUGCUGCUCUGCACAACCAGGAACCAUCUCCCGGUCACGGUGUGCGACAGGACAGCUUGGACUUACCAGUUCUAUGAGAUUUAACCAUCAAACCCGAUUGAAAAGACUAGCAAGUGGUCCAGCUGGGAGUUAGUUCAUUAGUUGCAGUAAAUAUCGCUAGAAGAGUUUGUCAAAAGGCGAUGUAAAGCAGCUGAAAAGAAAUGUCCUUAAAGUGAAUGUCAAAAGGCUUUAGCAGCUGUCAUCCAGGGGACCGGGAGACUCCCGGCUUUGGAGACAAAACGAGGGUGAAAGAAAUAAAAAUUUGAGUAGGGAGGAUAAAGUACCGAUUCCCACUGAGCGAUUAUAAAGGAAACAAUCUUACCACUACAGGGACCUAAUUAGAGACUGAAUCUCAAGGCUGUAAUAUCUCCUCCAGGACACUGAGAGAUCCAAGCUAGCUAAAGCAGUCCUUUCAGACCGGCAGCAUUAGGAGGCUCCGCUGCUGGCAGGGGCACACUGAAAUGCCAGCUUUAUCUACCCAUAGUGAUUUCCAGUGUUCUUGAAUCAUGCAGUCUCGUCAGCACUUACUUAGGACCAGGGGAGCAGCUUCAUUUUCUUGCUUGGCCAGCACAGCAUCAUCCUGGUCCUACAGGAGGCAACAAGGGGCUCCCAUUGCACUGUGAGGAAAGGCACCAGCACCCAUCUUCCCAGGCAAACAUAAAGUUAAUUGUCAACAAGAGAGACUUUCACAUUUCUGUGACUGAUCUGCUAAUUCACUGCUUUCACUGGUCUCCAAAACAUCUUGUGCAGAUCAGGUGUGAGUCCCCAGGCCUUCCUGGAGACUCCAGUGCUGCCAGGCAGUGGAUGUGUGCCUUGCUUUGCUUAAGUCUUGGGGCAGGGCUCAUCUCUCCUACUGUUUUCCAUCAGAGACACUGUCAUCCUUCUCUCCCUCCUUCUGGAAAUGUGGAAACGCUGGCCAUAGUUUGAGUCUGACCUUUGGCAGCAAAGCCCAUCCCUGCUCCAGCUGCUCACUCUGAGAUGCAGUGCGUCACCUCUUCAUUGGUGUGCCAAGCCAGGACCUCCUCAAAUUAGGUUUUUUUCUUUGUUUGGUGGUUUUUCAAAGGAGCAAGAAGUUUUUUGCUGGAUUUUAUUUAAGACUAGUCGGUUCUGAGCCCUGGUCCUCAGCACUCCCCUCCUGCUGCCGGUAAGGGCUGCGUCAGCAGGAGCCAUGCUGUAGGGUGAGUGAGCAGUGGGGUCAGCAGGAAGGAAUUAUUUUAGGUAGUAUUGCCAUUAAAGUCCCUUUGUAUGUAACCCUGGCCCUGCGGAGUGAUUCUGUUCAGGGCAGGCUUCAGGGGAGCAUGGGAAUCUCUUCCAGUGUCGCUACUACUGGCAGCCACAUUCUUCUGCAGCGGGAUUUUCCAGGCAGAGGGAGGUCUGUGCCUUCUGAGACCUCUCGGGGAGCUCAGUGCUCCUGGGAAGAGCGGGGAUGGCUGCUCGGGAUGGGCAGAUACAUCUCGUACUGGGGGGUGGUGGUUUACGAGUCUCCUCUGGAGCAAGGAGGAGGUAAGUGACCUGCCCAGAGAGAGCUCAGCGCUGCUAACAUCUGACAAGGACAUUUUCAUAACCGAGAUAAAUAAACAGAUGCCUUUUUUUGCUCCAGGGAGAUAAUUUCUUCUGUGCUACUAGCCUGAGACUGUUUGCUUGGCUUAGCCUGUAUUUUUACCAUAUGCAACAAGCCUUAACCACUUCAUUUGAGGCUGUUAUUCAUUUGGGGCCAAUAUGAAACAUUUCUGGCAUUUCUUGUCUAUUUUUCUGGCCCUUACAUGUUUCUAAUGUCUCCACUUCUGUAUAUAUAUUUUCCUCUCUAACAUUUCAGUUCUCUUCUCUUGUAAUAUUUUAAAUCCUUAAUUGCCUGAUGCUGCAGAUGGAGAGUAUUAGUUACCUUCCAUCACCACUCUGGCCACGAUGACUUCCUUUGCUUGACAAGUUGAUUACUUUGUCAAGGUGAAUGUUAAGUCUGUCUGUGCAUCUUGUGACAGAUGGCAAUUGCAAGCUGGUUUCUUAUCAGACAUGCUGUUUCUCCAGACACAGAAUGCCAGCAGUAAAACUGGGAUUUUGAGGGGCUUUUUUCCCCCAGCUCCCUGCUGAGAUUGAUGUUGCUCCAGUUUAUACCAGCGGGAUUUAGGUGGCUGUAUCUCUAAAUGUGACAAACUAAUGCACAGCAAGCAAACCCAACUGGUGAAGAUAAAGCAAGCUGAUUGAUACAGAAAAUUCCCAUCCUGGCACCCACCUAGCAAAGUCCACAACUAGCGAUUAGGAGGUAAUAAGAAGUGCACCAAGUCUGCCAAAGCUGCUGGAGGUGCCGACUAACAUCUAACAGACACCUCCAUGGAGCCAAAGAGUUGUUGUGGUGCCUGCUCCCUGCUGCACUGCAUCAGCACGCCCGAAAGGGCAGCCUCCUGGGUGAGCGGUGGGGCUGACGGGCUCCCCAAAGUGCCAGUCACAGGCAGUGGGGACCAGAAAGGAGCCUUUGUGAAAGCGUUGCAGAAAUGGCCUAACGCUGUGGAGGCUCAUUAAAGUGUGAAAGAAACUUCCUCUCCAUUGCAUAAUAGGGUAUCACCAUGGCUGGUGUCUCAGAUGUGGCCAUCAGCAUGUGAGUCCUCAGCUGCCCUGCACAGACCCAGUGCACAGUGUGGGAUCCAGUUAUGUCUCUGCUUGCCACAGCACCAAACCUUGCCUCUUUAUGCCAUGCCUCCAGAGACCUUCCAACACUCGUAUUCUGCAUGACCCCUAGAAGAAGGUAGACAGCAGUUGCAUCAUGGAAGGUAGAAUCUGCUUUCAGAUUGUUCAGUGGAUGUAAUUGAGGCAAAACAGCAAAACCUGAGUAAGUUAAGUGCAUUUCAUAGAGGUUCCCAAGGGAUAACAGGUCACAUUGUUUGUGAUGUGCAAGCCAGGGCAAGAAGGCUGGAUCUUCCACAGAAAAGUUGCUGACAUUGGCCCCAAAAUGUCAUGGUUAAGGUAAGAAGAACAUUCAGAUCUCUCGUAACUUUUUCUGCUUUUAAGGAAGUGGUAUCCAGACCACUGUAGGUAUUAGAAAUGUGGGAAACAACACUGAGCAACACAAAGAACAAAAAACAGUGAGUGCUUUCUGAGAAGACAAGGAAACUGAGUCUUAUGCCACUGAAUGCUUCAGGAGAAUAAGUCCUAACAGCUACAGUAGCCAAAUGACAUCUGGGACCAGAGCGUGAACAACUCUUGUCAUAUUACAUAGUGAACGUCUCAACUUCUUGAGCUUGUUGCAGAAGAUAAAAUGUUGGGCAGCAUUAUUGUCUGGUGGUACAGGAACAUUCAUUUCUCUAACCGUGUGUGGUGGUAUCUGACCAUCUUGGGUAUCUGGGCAGGCAGGUCAAAGGAAAGCAGAGUGUAGAUUUGGUUUUCAAAGGUACCUAUUUCCAGUAAGCGUGAACUUCAUUUUCUGUUAGGAAUUCUUUUUUCGUGGCAUAUUGUAACAGAAAUAAUAAAAUAAAUAAAAGCAUGGUAACUUGAAAGAUGAACCUUGGGACCAUACCUGUACAGACAAACCGGCUCUGGGUGCAGUUUGAGCGCUGAGGGCUGCUCUUUUCCCUGGCAGAUGUGGUCCUGGGGUUGCUUUCCACACCUGAUCCUAUAGUGAGACCUUAGCAAAGAGCAGAGACAGAGCUUUUCUUGUGUCCUACUGUACAUGACAAGGCAAGGAUGUGUUGGAGCAUCUAUAUAUAGACCUAAAUCAGAUCAGCUUCAUGCAACAAUAGAAGAGCCACAUCCAUCCACCUCCUGGGGUUUUCCCCCCUCCCCAGUGUUUGUGGAAAGGGGGAAAAGCCCCUUUUACUGUCUGAGUUUGUGACAUUUCUGCUCUCCCUGGGUGGAAAGGGAUCAUAGGGACUUCUGUCUCUCUGCCUGUGAGGGAAGCACUGCGAGUGAUGGGCAAGAAGCUCUCUCAAGGCGUACCUUGUUCUCCCCAGGGACCUGCACCCCACCACUCCCUUCCCUGGGCUGGUGUGUUGGGACCCCCUGGCCUGUCCCUUCCUGAGCUCCCCCCUCUCCCAUGGCUCCAAGCCCUGCCACUUCCCAUCUUUGGGAAGGCAGAGGUGGAGGAGCAGGCUCCCAGGGGGUCUGGAGAAGCAGAAGGUCUCCAUCGGGGGUAUCUCCUUGCAGGAGAUAGAAGGUGUUCCCGCCGUGGGGGCUGCAGGCAGGAGCAGCCACACGCUUCCCUCUGCAGCCGGCAGCACUCGGCUUUUUCCCAUCAUUUAUUACCUGGCGGCUGCUUUGGUGUGUUCCCCACACGGGACACCUCCUUCUGGUGGGCUGCCAAGGACAGGACGGCAGCAGUGUCCUCCCAGGGAGGGAAGGUGGUGGCUCCCCACCCCGAGCACACAGCAUCUGUCCCUGCCGCUUGGCCGGCCCUCCCCUCCAGACCUACUUUUGCUGGGAGAGGCAAGGUAACCUCGCCACUGAAAAUAGCUGGGACGGCAGCCAACGGAGAUUAAUGGCAUCAUUAGCGUCCCCGGUUUAUUUAUAGGCUUAAAAAUGCCUCGGACCUGAGAACCGAGCAGAGUCACUCCAUGUAGCUCAGGGACUCCCAGGUCUCCUGCUUCUGCCUUUCCCCUUCCUGCUGUUUCAUCCUGAUCCCUGGGACCCUAAAACCUCUGCAGGAGGGACUUUCUCCCACUGUAAACCUAUUUUGCAAGCCUUCCUAACUAGGGGGAUACACGUGGACUUAUUUUUGGUUUUUUCCCUGUGAAUGCUGUAUUUGUCUUGUCUCCUUCCUCCACCCAACUCUUUCUGUGCUCACUGUGUCCUGUGGCCCCUCUUUGGGAAAAUUCUCUUUUUUGAUGAAUUCCUGAGGCAUGGGCUGAGCAGUCGUCACAGGAAUUUGUGAUUUUCCGCCUUGGGUUUUAAACUGUGAGCUCCGUGGGAGGAGGACGGGGAAUCUCAUAGCUGUGGAGAGCACCUAGGACAUGUGGGGCCCCAGUGGGACAUCAGGAUGUUAUUAAUGACCGUGGAGGUCUUCCUACAGGAGCCAGAAGAGCCAGCCCAGCUCCCAGCUCCUCCAGGAACCUGGCGGGACUGGCAAGAAAAGGAAAAAAACCACCCCAAGUGUGUUGGUCCCAGAAGAGUAGUUUUCAGCACGUGACCUGCGGCCGCGCUGCCUGGCCUGUUUCCCAGCCCUCGGUGAAAGGUAAGUGAGAGAGGAAGCUUGUUUGUCAGCAGGCACAGGGCCAAGGGAUCGGCCCUGUGACUGGGAGAUGGCUCCAUGGGUGGGAGAAAAAAGUACAAAUGCCAGUAGGGACCCCUCCCACCCAGACACACGGGUAACCACCUCAUGGAGGUGAGGUUGCUUCAGAGGGGACCACCCUUCGCUUUGCUGUUGGUUUUUUUGUUGUAUGAAUCUGAGAUAAACUCCUGUGUUGGUCUCUUCUUGGCCAACUAGGGGUUGGAAUAAAGGACUGGCGUAGAACCACU